AGGAUAAACGCUGGCGGCGUGCCUAAUACAUGCAAGUCGAGCGGCAGCGCGGUCUUCGGACUGGCGGCGAGCGGCGGACGGCUGAGUAACACGUAGGAACGUACCCCAAAGUGAGGGAUAAGCACCAGAAAUGGUGUCUAAUACCGCAUGUGCUCUAAGGAGUAAAGCUUCGGCGCUUUGGGAACGGCCUACGCAUGAUUAGCUUGUUGGUGAGGUAAUGGCUCACCAAGGCGACGAUCAUUAGCUGGUCUGAGAGGAUGAUCAGCCAGACUGGGACUGAGAACGGCCCAGACUCCUACGGGAGGCAGCAGUAGGGAAUUUUCCACAAUGGGCGAAAGCCUGAUGGAGCAACGCCGCGUGCAGGAUGAAGGCCUUAGGGUUGUAAACUGCUUUUAUGUGUGACGAAUAUGACGGUAGCAUAUGAAUAAGGAUCGGCUAACUCCGUGCCAGCAGCCGC
rnacentral:rRNA from 1 species